rnacentral:rRNA from 1 species
UACGUAGGUGGCAAGCGUUGUCCGGAAUUACUGGGCGUAAAGGGCGUGUAGGCGGCCAAUUAAGUCAGACGUGAAAACUCAGGGCUUAACCUUGGGACUGCGUUUGAAACUGGAUGGCUAGAGGAUCGGAGAGGGCAGUGGAAUUCCCAGUGUAGCGGUGAAAUGCGUAGAUAUUGGGAGGAACACCAGUGGCGAAGGCGACUGCCUGGACGACACCUGACGCUGAGGCGCGAAAGCUAGGGGAGCAAACGGG